rnacentral:lncRNA from 1 species
AUGGUCCCCAAAGAAGUUUCUUCAACAGCCUCUUUCUACCAAGAGAAAAAUCAAGUCUUCAUCUCUGCCUUUGACAACAGAGCCUUCCAUGAAUUAAGAGUUACAAAUGGAACGCAAGUUUUGUUUUCCCUUCAGGGUGUGAGAUUAUGUGCCCUGCAACUCUGUGGAGGUCAGUCAUCUGUGUCAUCAUUUAACUUUCUUAUUGAUCUUAAUCCUCCUGCUGAUGAGACCUUCUGGUAAUGUCGCCCUGGUAGGUGUAAUUAAAAUUAAAGCAAAGCAAAACAAAACAAAUAUGUUAGAGAGUAAGAAGUAAGGGCCGGAAGCAAUGGGAAAACAGGAUGGAGCUGCGAGAGGCUGUGCUGAAAGAGUCUCCACUCCUAGAAGAAGAGGGAAUAACCUGGGACCCGAAGAUUUUCUAAGAAAAAGUGGCAUUUCUAAAGACAGUGUGGGAGGAGCUCUGGGAAGGAACUGCAGAUCUGGGGAGUCAGGUCUGGGAAGACCAUCGAGAUGGUCAGGUUCUCACUGCACAAGGGGUGAUUAAAAAAUUGGUAAAUGUUUAAAAUCUUAAAAGUGUCUUAAAAUAAAAGAGAUGUUAUUAUUCAUCCUCUUCAAAGUACUCUCCCUUGCUUUGAAAGGUUUUACUCUACUGUUUUUGCCACUUUUUAAAACAGUACUGGAAAUCUCUUUUCAUGAGUGUCUUUCAGAGUAGUGAUAAAACAAAACAAAAAGCAAUAAGUACUGUUGCCAAGUACCAUCCAAAGGAAAGGCAGGCUUAUAAAACUAUUACAGUGUGCUCUCAUCCACCUUAUUCCCCAGAUGUGGCACCAUGUGACUUCUAGCUUUUCCCUAAAGUCCAAAUGACCAGGAAAGGUAAACAUCUUGAAUCAAUUCAUAACAUUAAGGUAAUCACAACAAUGCAACUAGAGACACUCACAAAAGAAGACUUCCAGAACUAUUUCAGAAAAUGACAAGAAGGAUGAGAUAAGCAUGUUUGAAACAAAGGGGAGUAUUUUGAGGGGGAUUGUAUUAAGGAGUGCUUACAAGAGCUUGCUAGGCUGGGGCAAGGGUCCGAAAAAUCUUGCAGAUGCUCUGAAUUAGAUUUUAUGCAGGACACAGAAAUUUAUAAAAUUGGCCUACAAUGGCCACCCACAGAGUCAGAUGCAGAAAACUGUGAAAGAUCUGUCCAUGUGCUAGAGAUCUGAAGGAUGCAGCCAUUUGGAUGGCAAUGUCCUGCAUGAGUCCACAUCAGAAGGCCAGAGGAUCCGAGACAGAAGGCUAAGGAGGGGAGUUUGAGGAGUACAUGCUAGAAGCUAGAGUCUCUGCAGGCUAGAAGGCCAGUGCUGGAAGCUGAAAAAUCUGCCAGACUGAAAGCCAGGAGAAGAUGCCCAAGGUGAAAGCAAAGACUGGAGCUCCUCCAAAGAGAACAACAGCCAUCCUUAGCAAUGGGGGAGGACCAGAGCUCUUCUGAAAAGAACAGCUGAAGCUCCUCUAAGGAAAAGCAGCUGAGAUCCUUCCCUCUCGUUCUCCUUUUAUACCAUUCUGACAAUAAUUCUCUUUAAAGUGGGUCUUUCAUGCCCAAGACCCUGCUGACUCAAUUCAACUGGGCAUUCCCUACUCAAGUUGACAAUUAAUUAACCACCACAGGGAUUGAUGGCAGUGUGUCUUUUACUGUGAUAAUUUUUUUUACUUAAACAUACAUUGUAUUUUUCAAUCACACCUUGUAUAUAAAAGGCAAAAGAGGAAUGGAGAAGGACUGGGACUUGCCCAAGGUCUCAUAGCAAGUAAAUAACUAUUUCAUGUUGUGUUCUGUCUUUCAGGUCACAUUCAUACUCUUCCAGAAAAUCACUACCAUCCUCAUGUGUAGUACUUCUGCCCAGUUAGGUUCAAUGAUCUUCUGGUUUCAGAGACACCUCCUGUGACCCAGUCCUGGUUAAUCAGCCCUUCAAAUACCCCUAGAGAUGGUGAUUAAUUCAUGAUACACAUUGUGACCUGCACUGGCCCAAUGAGAAUGUCACCCAAAAUGAAUAGAGGAGCUUUUGGUAGUGAUAGUUCCCCUUGGAUUUGAUGAUGUCAGGUUGGAAGGGUGCUGCAUUGUGAAGUCAUUUAACCACAAGGUGGAGCCUGAGAAUAAAACACAGGGGAGGAAACCAGAGCUGAGAUGGGAGUCUGGGUUGCAGUGAGACGUCUUUGGGAAGGAGGGGGUCUCUAGAUCGAAUCACACUUAAAGAUAACAUACUUGCUAAGUUUUCCGUUAUAUGAGACCAUAAAUUCUCUUUACUCUUGACUGCGUUGUUUUCUUUCACUUUCAACAGUACAAACUCGGAGUUGCUGCAGAUUGGUUUACUUAACAUAUGUUCCCAUGUCUUUCCAGUGGGUGUCACUUUACUGCAGGAAUGGGG